rnacentral:sRNA from 1 species
AUCAUUCCUAGAACUGAAGUUGAAAAGGCCAUCAGGAAGUCCCGGAGCCGUAUCAAUGAUGCUUUCCGUCUGAAUGACAACAGCCUGGAGUUUCUGGGGAUACAGCCAACACUUGGACCUCCUAACCAGCCCCCUGUUUCCAUAUGGCUGAUUGUUUUUGGAGUUGUGAUGGGAGUGAUAGUGGUUGGCAUUGUCAUCCUGAUCUUCACUGGGAUCAGAGAUCGAAAGAAGAAAAAUAAAGCAAGAAGUGAAGAAAAUCCUUAUGCCUCCGUCGAUACUAGCAAAGGAGAAAAUAAUCCAGGAUUCCAAAACACUGAUGAUGUUCAGACUUCCUUUUAGAAAAAUCUAUGUUUUUCCUCUUGAGGUGAUUUUGUUGUAUGUAAAUGUUAAUUUCAUGGUAUAGAAAAUAUAAGAUGAUAAAGAUAUCAUUAAAUGUCAAAACUAUGACUCUGUUCAGAAAAAAAAUUGUCCAAAGACAACAUGGCCAAGGAGAGAGCAUCUUCAUUGACAUUGCUUUCAGUAUUUAUUUCUGUCUCUGGAUUUGACUUCUGUUCUGUUUCUUAAUAAGGAUUUUGUAUUAGAGUAUAUUAGGGAAAGUGUGUAUUUGGUCUCACAGGCUGUUCAGGGAUAAUCUAAAUGUAAAUGUCGUUGAAUUUCUGAAGUUGAAAACAAGGAUAUAUCAUUGGAGCAAGUGUUGGACCUUGUAUGGAAUAUGGAUGGAUCACUUGUAGAGGACAUUGCUUUUUCACUUCCAAGCUGCUUGAUCAACAUCUCCCUGACAACACAAAACUAGAGCCAGGGGCCUCCGUGAACUCCCAGAGCAUGCCUGAUAGAAACUCAUUUCUACUGUUCUCUAACUGUGGAGUGAAUGGAAAUUCCAACUGUAUGUUCACCCUCUGAAGUGGGUACCCAGUCUCUUAAAUCUUUUGUAUUUGCUCACAGUGUUUGAGUAGUGCUGAGCACAAAGCAGACACUCAAUAAAUGCUAGAUUUACACA